UAAUUUCACAACAGAACUCAAAUGGAAUUCACCUAAAUAGGUAUUACAUAAUUAUACAGUUGGUAGCGUCCGUAUAACACUAAAUAUGUAAAAUGUACGUUCCGGAAUUUUCACCUCCGAUUAUUAUUUACGUUAACGGGUGACGUCACUGGUAAGAAGUCUGACGUCUGCAAGACAGUGUCUGGAGUUAGGAUAGGAGUAACGUGUAUAACAUAAUGUAAACUUAGUUUACCAAAUAAGUAAGAAAAUAUUGACGCAGUCAACUGUCUUGGUCAGCACCCCAGCCCAGGUGUGAAUCAACACUGGCACAUUAUAUCAAAAUUAAGGAUGGUGGCUGAAGCUCAUCUCCUAUGUAAACACCUAAAUGCCAAGUCUGGACUUCAAAAACAGAUUCUGAAAGUUUAACCAGCAUUAUGGACAAAAAGUAUACACUUCGAACAGACACAAAAACAUAUAGGUCCAUGCCAAGCUAUGAAAGAUUUAUGCUGAGGGUAAGUUCUAUUAUUAUAUAGAAUUUAAUUGUCAGACAUAUGGUUAUGUCUAAAAUUUUACUGUUGUAUUUAUAUCAGUGAUAAGCAAUAUUUUGCACCUGAGCUGACUUACAUGUAAUCACAAAAAAAUGUUAUAACUAAUUAGAUAACCUGAGUCAGUCAUGACCUAUUGCUAUCUGUUUUUAGCUCACCUGAGCUGAAAGCUCAAGUGAGCUUUUGCUGAUCACAUUUUGUCUGUAGUCUGUCUAGCUGUCCGUCUGUCUGUAAACUUUCACAUUUUC